rnacentral:lncRNA from 1 species
CCGGUCCCGGUUCCGGUCCCGGUUCCGGGGGCGGGGCGAGGCGGGGCCGCGCCAACCAAUGGGAUCGCGCCGCGGCCCUGUUGCCUUGGAGACCGCGGGCUGCCCGGCCGAGGAGCCGCUCCCAUUGGCUGCCGCCUCGGCGCGGGCCCGGCGCAGGGCGCGAUCCCAUUGGCUGCGGCGCCGCCCGCUGUUGCCAUGGCGACAGCGCCCGAGUGCGGCCUAGGCCCGGCCCCGAGCCCUGGGGCCUGGCCCGGGGGCGAGCAGCGGGCACCGGGCACCGGGAACGGCCCUGAGGGGGGCUGGGGGGAGCCCCGCGGGGUCAGGCGGAGCCGCAGGGCCCGGUCUCGGUGUUGGGGGCACGAGUGUCCCGUGCGGAAGCGGGGAUGGAGCCAAGAGGCCUGGUCCCGGGGGGGCUGAGGGGAGCGGUACGUGCCCGGUGCCCGCUGCCCGCUGCCCGGUACCGGGGCUGUGGCACUGAGGGCACCGGGGGGAGCUGAGGGGAGCCGUGCGGGUCCCUGCCCGGUGCUGGGGCUGUGACACUGCGGCCGUUACCUCAGCAUCUCCCAAAUGAGCCCUCAGAGGUGCUGGGGAGGCGUUAACGGAAACCUCAGGGCCCGGCAGGAACCGGGGAUGGGGUGGUGAGGGUGAGGCCGGAGCGGUCUCAGCCCACAAAGCGCCCCUGACCCCCCCCAUCUCCUCCUUUAUGCCACAUUCAGGGGCGCAGCAAGCGGCAGGAGGCCGAAGCGGAGAGGGGAGCAGUGGCCCGCGAGCUGAGCCUGCCACCGAUCCCCAGCGAGGACAAGAGGAGAGGGGAGAAGAAGAAGCCAGUUACAUUUAUGUCGAGUAAAAAAACACCCCUGCCUUCGAAGAAAGCGGUAUCCCAAGAGAAAUACAGAAGUUUUACCGAGAAGAAGUCAGCGCUCAAGGAGGCUGAAAUAGCUGAGGCGUUGGAAGAGAUCAAAAUCACCACGGAUCUGACCCAGCAGAAGAUAAAUGCCAUAGAGGAGCUGAAGCAGCGCAGCGCCCGCCUGGAAGAGGCCAACUGCCGGCUGAUGAAGGACAUCCAGCACACCGAUGCCAGCACUGCCAAGCGAGCCAGAGACCUGCUGCAGCAGUACGAACAGUUUCAGAUGGUCAAGGCAGAGACACAGAUCUCCAGUCAGAAGAGACUGGACACAGCGAGGGCAGAGCUGCAGGAAAUGGAAAAAACAAUGGAAAAGAAUCUGGGAGAGCUACAGCAGCAGCUGGAUGAAGCCACAUCCAACGUACAGGUUCUCCAGGACGAGCUCGGCGUCCUGCGGACCUACACGGACGUGCAUUAUCCCAAACAGGCUCUCCAGAUUGUCCUCCUGCUCUCCGACAUCCAGAACCUGAAGAAGCAGCAGCAGGUGCUGAGACCUCUCCUUCCUUGCAGCGUUGCUCUGGGGGCUGGA